rnacentral:tRNA from 1 species
UAGAUUGAAGCCAGUUGUUUAGGGUUUUUAGCUGUUAACUAACGAUUCGUGGGUUUAAAUCCCAUCAAUCUAG